rnacentral:rRNA from 1 species
AGCAGCCGCGGUAAAUUCCAGCUCCAAUAGCGUAUAUUAAAGUUGUUGCAGUUAAAAAGCUCGUAGUUGAAUUUCGGGAUCAAUGUUUCGGUCAUGCCGUUGGUAUGUACUGAUAUUAUUGAUUUCUCACCUUCUAAAGAACCGUAAUGCCAUUAAUUUGGUGUCACGGGGAAUUAGGACUGUUACCUUGAAAAAAUUAGAGUGUUUAAAGCAGGCUCACGCUUGAAUACAUUAGCAUGGAAUAAUGAAAUAGGACAUCCGAUUCUAUUUUGUUGGUUUCUAGGAUCGAUGUAAUGAUUAAUAGGGAUAGUUGGGGGCAUUAGUAUUCAAUUGUCAGAGGUGAAAUUCUUGGAUUUAUUGAAGACUAACUACUGCGAAAGCAUUUGCCAAGGAUGUUUU